AUUGAUCAAGCUAGACGGGCAGGAAAGAAGGUUUUCUUUAGCGGUCCGUAUGGCUUUUUUGAAGGGCGGCAGAUUAAUGUUGAUUAGGGGUGUGUUAAUUUUAGGACAGUGGGUAAUUUUGUUUCAUUGGGCAACUGGAGCUCUAAUUGUAAGUUUACAGGUUAAGCAGAUUCUGAGUGUCAAGUAGGUGUUUUAUAGUUUAAUUUUUGCUUUUAUUCUUUUUUUUUUUUUUUGUAGAGUUUUAUGGUUAAGGCUGGUUAUGGUUCUCUCAAUGUAAGGGGCUUGAAAGACAUUGUAAAGAGAAAGGCAGUUUUUUUUUUGUUUUGUAAAGGGCAAAAAGUUCAUUGCCUGUUUUUACAAGAGACUCAUUCAACAGACUAGGAUGCCUCUUUUUGGGCUAAUCAAUGGGGUGAUAAGAUUUUUUUCAGCCAUGGUUCUAACCGUUCUGGAGGUGUGGCAAUGUGUUUCAACAAAUGUCCUAGGGGAAUUCAUUAGUUAUAAAGUUGAUGGUAAUGGUCA